rnacentral:rRNA from 1 species
CCUACGGGAGGCAGCAGUAGGGAAUCUUCCACAAUGGGCGAAAGCCUGAUGGAGCAACGCCGCGUGGGUGAAGAAGGUCUUCGGAUCGUAAAACCCUGUUGUUAGAGAAGAAAGUGCGUGAGAGUAACUGUUCACGUUCCGACGGUAUCUAACCAGAAAGCCACGGCUAACUACGUUCCAGCAGCCGCGGUAAUACGUAGGUGGCAAGCCUUAUCCGGUUUUAUUGGGCGUAAAGGGAACGCAUGCUGUCUUUUAAGUCUGAUGUGAAAGCCUUGGGCUUAACCGGAGUAGUGCAUUGGAAACUGGGAGACUUGAGUGCAGAAGAGGAGAGGGGAACUCCAUGUGUAGCGGUGAAAUGCGUAGAUAUAUGGAAGAACACCAGUGGCGAAAGCGGCUCUCUGGUCUGUAACUGACGCUGAGGUUCGAAAGCGUGGGUAGCAAACAGGAUUAGAUACCCCAGUAGUC